GAGGCUUGUGAGGAGACUGUUGAGGGACGGUCCUUCUGCUCCUUUCUGAUGACCGUCCUGCCCUGUAUCCUUCAGAACUUCAGAGAGAAUACUGUGUGUAAAAAUGGCUGCCGUUUCAGCUCCAUCCUCCUUCCAAACAAUCAAUUCGUUGAAACAACCAUCCGUUGCAACUAUAGACUCCUCCAGUAAUGCUAGUAGUAGCAAUAGCUGUAGAAUUCUUCAUGUGGGCUGCUUCUCAAAUCUUUCUUCUUCUCCCCAAAAGCUUCUUCUCAAGAAAACUCCACCUUUUUCAACACAACAACAUCCCCCAAGACUACUUGUCUGUGCAAAUAGCACCAGCAGCAGCAUUGACAGUAACAGUUUUUCUGUCUCUGAUUCACCUCCCUCCGCUACCAGACCCAAAGUGAGGCGCCACACUAUUUCGGUGUUUGUUGGUGAUGAAAGCGGGAUGAUAAAUCGGAUUGCAGGAGUGUUUGCAAGGAGGGGGUAUAACAUUGAGUCACUUGCAGUUGGUCUGAACAAGGAUAAGGCCCUUUUCACUAUAGCUGUGUGUGGAACUGAUACAGUGCUGCAACAAGUUAUGGAACAGCUCCAGAAGCUUGUAAACGUGAUAAAGGUCGAAGACAUCUCGAAGGAGCCGCAGGUAGAACGAGAACUGAUGCUUGUAAAAAUAAAUUCAGAUCCAGAUUAUCGAGCAGAGGUCAUGUGGUUGGUGGACACUUUUAGAGCAAAAAUUGUGGAUAUAUCAGAUCAUUCGUUGACUAUUGAGGUAACUGGAGAUCCCGGAAAGCUGGUUGCUGUGCAAAGGAAUUUAAGUAAAUUUGGAAUUAGAGAAAUUGCACGAACUGGAAAGAUUGCCUUGAGAAGGGAAAAAAUGGGCGAGUCUGCUCCCUUUUGGAGGUUUUCAGCAGCUUCAUAUCCAGAUCUUGAAGGCACAAUGUCUCCUGAUGCUGUAUUAAGGGCAGCAAAGAGAAUACGUGAUGAAAAAUCUGAUACAUCAACUGGGGGAGAUGUGUAUCCUGUGGAGGCAGAUGAUGACUUCUACAUCAGUCCAGUUCUUGAUGCUCACUGGGGCGUUCUGGUUGAUGACGAUACUAGUGGUCUUCGCUCUCACACUUUGUCAAUGCUCGUGAAUGACACUCCUGGAGUUCUCAACAUAGUAACUGGUGUUUUUGCUCGAAGAGGCUACAAUAUUCAAAGUCUAGCUGUUGGUCAUGCUGAAGUUGAGGGGCUUUCUCGCAUUACCACUGUUGUUCCUGGUACAGAUGCAUCCAUCAAUAAGCUGGUCCAGCAACUUAGCAAGUUGGUAGAGCUUCAUGAGAAAUCUGGGAUGCCAUCUUAUGGAUAUUCAUGUUUUGGUCUUUUAUUGUGUUGCACUUGCAUUGGUGUAGUAAUCAGUUUGGAAUUUCCCUCUUCCUCCAUUUUUCAUUCUUGUUCUCUGUAAAAGGGAUUUCUUGGGCAAUGUCAUUAGAUUUUAACAUGUUAUUCCUCAUUGCAGGUUCGGGACCUCACACAUAUGCCAUUUGCUGAGAGGGAACUAAUGUUGAUUAAGAUUGCUGUUAAUGCUGCUGCUCGACGCAAUGUUCUGGAUAUUGCCAGCAUUUUUAGAGCCAAAGCUGUUGAUGUGUCUGAUCAUACCAUCACUCUCGAGCUUACGGGAGAUUUGGACAAGAUGGUUGCUUUGCAAAGAUUAUUGGAGCCUUAUGGCAUUUGUGAGGUGGCCCGAACUGGUCGUAUUGCACUUGUGCGUGAAUCUGGAGUGGACUCGAGGUACCUUCGCGGAUAUUCUUAUCCAGUGUAAAUUUGGACAUUCUGCAGCAUCUCCGUUUCAAUUUUGUAAGUACCAUGGCGUGGCGUUUUAUAGAUGGAAUGAUCACAGGACGUAUGUAUUGACAUCAUUGUUUUCAUAUGAUUGAAAAAGUAGUUUUUAGAAAUUUGGAGCUGCACAUCAGGCCUACUUGUGAGUUUUUAAUCAUCUUUGAUUUUGUCGUGACUUUACCGGGUACUGGAUACAUUUGAUAUGCAUUUUAUACCAUUCUCUUUAAGCAGCAAUCUAAUGGAAUGUAGUUUUCGGUGAUGUUGUAACCCCUGCAGAUUGGAUUAAGUUCCAAAUGGGUCAUUAGUAAGAAAUUCGACUAACCAAAAUUUUGGUAGUCAGAAUAAGAUCUCUUUUACCUUGAA